GGAGAGAUGGCUGAGUGGUUGAAAGCACCAGUCUUGAAAACUGGCAUGGGCCUCGUGUCCAUCGUGAGUUCGAAUCUCACUCUCUCCGCCA
rnacentral:tRNA from 2 species